rnacentral:rRNA from 1 species
GUGGGGAAUUUUGGACAAUGGGCGCAAGCCUGAUCCAGCAAUGCCGCGUGCAGGAAGAAGGCCUUCGGGUUGUAAACUGCUUUUGUACGGAACGAAACGGUCCUGGUUAAUACCUGGGGCUAAUGACGGUACCGUAAGAAUAAGCACCGGCUAACUACGUGCCAGCAGCCGCGGUAAUACGUAGGGUGCAAGCGUUAAUCGGAAUUACUGGGCGUAAAGCGUGCGCAGGCGGUUUUGUAAGACAGGCGUGAAAUCCCCGGGCUCAACCUGGGAAUUGCGCUUGUGACUGCAAGGCUGGAGUGCGGCAGAGGGGGAUGGAAUUCCGCGUGUAGCAGUGAAAUGCGUAGAUAUGCGGAGGAACACCGAUGGCGAAGGCAAUCCCCUGGGCCUGCACUGACGCUCAUGCACGAAAGCGUGGGGAGCAAACAGUAUUAGAAACCCGUGUAGUCC